rnacentral:rRNA from 1 species
GAUAAACGCUGGCGGCGUGCCUAAUACAUGCAAGUCGAGCGAACGGACGAGAAGCUUGCUUCUCUGAUGUUAGCGGCGGACGGGUGAGUAACACGUGGAUAACCUACCUAUAAGACUGGGAUAACUUCGGGAAACCGGAGCUAAUACCGGAUAAUAUUUUGAACCGCAUGGUUCAAAAGUGAAAGACGGUCUUGCUGUCACUUAUAGAUGGAUCCGCGCUGCAUUAGCUAGUUGGUAAGGUAACGGCUUACCAAGGCAACGAUGCAUAGCCGACCUGAGAGGGUGAUCGGCCACACUGGAACUGAGACACGGUCCAGACUCCUACGGGAGGCAGCAGUAGGGAAUCUUCCGCAAUGGGCGAAAGCCUGACGGAGCAACGCCGCGUGAGUGAUGAAGGUCUUCGGAUCGUAAAACUCUGUUAUUAGGGAAGAACAUAUGUGUAAGUAACUGUGCACAUCUUGACGGUACCUAAUCAGAAAGCCACGGCUAACUACGUGCCAGCAGCCGCGGUAAUACGUAGGUGGCAAGCGUUAUCCGGAAUUAUUGGGCGUAAAGCGCGCGUAGGCGGUUUUUUAAGUCUGAUGUGAAAGCCCACGGCUCAACCGUGGAGGGUCAUUGGAAACUGGAAAACUUGAGUGCAGAAGAGGAAAGUGGAAUUCCAUGUGUAGCGGUGAAAUGCGCAGAGAUAUGGAGGAACACCAGUGGCGAAGGCGACUUUCUGGUCUGUAACUGACGCUGAUGUGCGAAAGCGUGGGGAUCAAACAGGAUUAGAUACCCUGGUAGUCCACGCCGUAAACGAUGAGUGCUAAGUGUUAGGGGGUUUCCGCCCCUUAGUGCUGCAGCUAACGCAUUAAGCACUCCGCCUGGGGAGUACGACCGCAAGGUUGAAACUCAAAGGAAUUGACGGGGACCCGCACAAGCGGUGGAGCAUGUGGUUUAAUUCGAAGCAACGCGAAGAACCUUACCAAAUCUUGACAUCCUUUGACAACUCUAGAGAUAGAGCCUUCCCCUUCGGGGGACAAAGUGACAGGUGGUGCAUGGUUGUCGUCAGCUCGUGUCGUGAGAUGUUGGGUUAAGUCCCGCAACGAGCGCAACCCUUAAGCUUAGUUGCCAUCAUUAAGUUGGGCACUCUAAGUUGACUGCCGGUGACAAACCGGAGGAAGGUGGGGAUGACGUCAAAUCAUCAUGCCCCUUAUGAUUUGGGCUACACACGUGCUACAAUGGACAAUACAAAGGGCAGCGAAACCGCGAGGUCAAGCAAAUCCCAUAAAGUUGUUCUCAGUUCGGAUUGUAGUCUGCAACUCGACUACAUGAAGCUGGAACCGCUAGUAAUCGUAGAUCAGCAUGCUACGGUGAAUACGUUCCCGGGUCU